rnacentral:rRNA from 1 species
GAUGAACGCUGGCGGCGUGCCUUAUACAUGCAAGUCGAGUGGGUUUAGACCCACGGCAAACGGGUGAGUAACACGUAGGUACUUUCCUUGUCACAGGAAUAACCCUCCGAAAGGAGGGCUAAUACCUGAUGUGAUCGCAAGAUUAAAGGGUAUCCGCAAGGAUUACCGGACAAGAAGAGGCCUGCGGCCUAUCAGCUAGUUGGCGGGGUAAAUGCCCACCAAGGCUAUGACGGGUAGCUGGUCUUAUGAGGAUGAUCAGUCACAGGGGCACUGAGACACGGGCCCAACUCCUACGGGAGGCAGCAGUAGGGAAGUUUGCGCAAUGGGCGAAAGACUGACGCAGCGACGCCGCGUGCGGGAUGAAGGCCUUCGGGUCGUAAACCGCUUUUAUAAGGGACGAACUUUGACGGUACCUUAUGAAUAAGAGGUUGCUAACUCUGUG